CCCACCCUGCAGCAUAUGGAGUUUCCAGGGCAGGGAUCAGAUCCAAGCUGCAGUUGCAGCAACGCUGGAUCCUUAACUCACUGUGCUAGGCUGGGGAUUGUGAUCAAACCUGCAUCCCAGCACUCCCAAGACACCACCUAUCCCAUUGCACCACAGGGGGAACUCCUAUGUUAGGUUAUUUUCACAUUUAUAUAUAUAUACCUAGGCAAGAAAACCUGAAAGGCAAGAUUUAAUGUGAGAUUUUUAUUUUUAAGAUCCACUUUACAGUAUAUUAAAUCCAAAUACUGAGGCCAUUUAGCAAGCCAGCCUAUCUUCAAAUUGCCCCAUAGGUGAAUAAAAGCAAAUAAAUUGAAUCAAAAGCAACUUAAAAUCACAAAAUAUGUUAAAGGUUUUUAAAAUUAGUUUCUUUUCUUUUUCUUUUAAAAUUUAGAUAAACUAUUUUCCCAGCACUUGGGAAAAUCUUCCCAUUUAUAAAAUCUGUCAUUUUAUAAAUGGGCAGAUUUCUCAAUAUGGGUUUUAAUGUACAAAUAACUCAGUAAAAUUCCAAAAGAUUCUUUUUAAAAAUAUCAAAUAUAUAAAUUCACUUUAUUUCAGUUGCAAGUAAGUUGGUGUUCUGCUUGGACAUGUUUCAAGUUCUUAUUGUGACAAGAAAAAUCUUUGAAAGCAACAUAAAGGUUAGAGUCAUCUUUGUCAAUUAAUUAAAUCAAACCAAGGUCCAGAAAACAAAGCUAUAUUAGUCUUUUUACAGAUUUUUUUUCUUCAAGGUGUCAUCUUGCACACAGCAUACAAGAAAAAUUAUAUAUGGCAUACACAAAAAACCAUUCACAAGAAAUGAGCAAAAUAUUACACUUUGGUUUAAAGGCAUUGCCAAUUUUGGAUACAAGUGGGCUUGCAUUUAAUCCCCAAUACCCAUAUCACUGUACAUUUGGUUAAGCUAGAUUAGAAAAUGGGAUUAUAUCAUUGAAUAGUGAUGCCUUUUCAUGAUUAAGAAAAGCAACAAUGGCUUCAGAGCCCUCCUGAUACAGUGUUCUUUCCAGCCAAAUGCUAUUCCAGCUCUUUUGAGCAUAUUCGAAAAGGAGACAUAAAAAAGAGAACUCAUAACAAAGAACCUCAAGGAGAGUCCAAGAAGGGAGUCAUACUGUUGUGAGCAGGUUGUAAGGCCAAGUAAUCGGGAAAGAAGAGAGGAAUAAAUUCUCAGAUUAAGAAUGACCUUAGGGUUCCUGUUGUGACUCAGCGGGUAACAAACCCAACUAACGUCCAUGAGGGUGUUGGUUCAAUCCCUGGCCUCGCUCAGUGGGUUAAGGAUCCAGUGUCACCAUGAGCUAUGGUGUGGGUCACAGACAUGGCUUGGAUCCCGUGUUGCUGUGGCUCUGCUGCAUCUGCAACCUACACCACAGUUCACGGCAAGGCCAGGGUUCGAACCCGCAUCCUCGUGGAUGCUAGUUGGGUUCAUUAACGGCUGAGCCAUGACGGAAACUCCUAUUCAGUGUUAUUUGAAUAAAUAAAAUAUAAAUAUUUCCCAUUACUAUUAGCUUUCAACAGAUUCAAGAACAAUAUAUGUAGAGACAUUUAAAAUAUGUUAAACAGAUGCUCUUCAAGGAGUACUUUAAAAUGCUGGAAAUUAAAAAUGAUUCCACUU
ensembl:lncRNA